GCCAAUGAGAUGUGGUCAACAUGCCAAUGAGAUGUGGUCAAUAUGCCAAUGAGAUGUGGUAAUAAAGCUGAUGAGAUGUGCUAAGAAUGCCAAUGAGAUGUGGUCAACAUGCCAAUGAGAUGUGGUCAAUAUGCCAAUGAGAUGUGGUAAUAAAGCUGAUGAGAUGUGCUAAGAAUGCCAAUGAGAUGUGGUUAAUAUGCCAAUGAGAUGUGGUCAAUAUGCCAAUGAGAUGUGGUAAUAAAGCUAAUGAGAUGUGCUAAGAAAGCCAAUGAGAUGUGGUUAAUAUGCCAAUGAGAUGUGGUCAAUAUGCCAAUGAGAUGUGGUAAUAAAUCUAAUGAGAUGUGCUAAGAAUGCCAAUGAGAUGUGCUAAGAAUGCCAAUGAGAUGGGCAACAAAUGCCAAGGAGAUGUGCUUAGAAUGCCAAUAAGAUGUGUUAAUACAACUAAUGAGAUGCGCUAAGAAUGCAAAUGAGAAGUGAUAAAGCUAAUGAGAUGUGCUUAGAAAGCUAAUGAAAUGUGGUAAUAAGCUAAUGAAAUGCACUAAGAAUGCAAAUGAGUUGUGGUAAUAAAGCUAAUGAGAUGCACUUAUAAGAAUGUAAAUGAGAUGUGGUAAUAAAGCUAAUGAGAUGCACUUAUAAGAAUGUAAAUGAGAUGUGGUAAUAAAGCUAAUGAGAUGCACUUAUAAGAAUGUAAAUGAGAUGUGGUAGUAAAGCUAAUGAGAUGUGGCAAUAAAGUUAAUGAGAUGCACUAAGAAUGCAAAUGAGUUGUGGUUAUAAAGUUAAUGAGAUGUGGUAGUAAAGCUAAUGAGAUGCACUUUUAAGAAUGCACAUGAGAUGUGGUAAUAAAGCUAAUGAGUUGCAAUAAGAAUGCCAAUGAGAUGUGGUAGUAAAGCUAAUGAGAUGUGCUUAGAAUGCCAAUGAGAUUUUGUAAUAAAGCUAAUGAGAUGUGGUAAUAAAGCUAAUGAGAUGUGCUAAGACUGCCAAUGAGAUAUGCUAAAAAUGGCAAUGAGAUGUGCUUAGAAUGCCAAUAAGAUUUGUUAAUACAACUAAUGAGAUGCACUAAGAAUGCAAAUGAGAUAUGGUAUAGAGCUAAUGAGAUAUGUGCUUAGAAAGCCAAUGAGAUUUGGUUAUAAAGUUAAUGAGAUGUGGUAAUAAAGCUAAUGAGAUGUUGCAAUCAUGCUAAUGAGAUGUGGCAUUAAAGUUAAUGAGAUGUUCUACAAAUGCACAUGAGAUGUGGUAGUAAAGCUAAUGAGAUGCACUUAUAAGUAUGCAAAUGAGAUGUGGUAAUGAAGCUAAUGAGUUGCACUAAGAAUGCAAAUGAGAUGUGGUAACAAAGCUAAUGAGAUGUGCUAAGAAUGCACAUGAGAUGUGGUAGAAAGACUAAUGAUAUUUCAUAUUUGGUAAUAAAGCUAAAUAGAUGUGGUAAUAGUGCCAAUGAGAUGUGCUAAAAAUGCCAAUGAGUAGUGAUAUUUAUGCAACUUCAAUUUGGUAAGAAUGCCAAUGAGAUGUGGUAAUAAAGCUACUGAGAUGUAGUAAGAAUGCCAAUGAGAUGUGGUAAUAAAGCUAAUGAGAUGUGCUAAGAAUGCCAAUGAGAUGUGGUAAUAAAGCUACUGAGAUGUAGUAAGAAUGCCAAUGAGAACUAUCCACCACAGAUAAAACCACAAGGCUGUAAGAGUUAUCUUUCUUUCAUGUGAAUUUUAUGUAUACUUUGUAAACUUUGUAAGCUCCCCUACAGAUGAUUAAAGUUACCCUUUCUUUUAAUAAAAUUAUUUUAUGAAUAAACUUUUAUAAAUUAGCAAGAUGAAAAAGCUUGCUAUAAAUCUCAAAUUCAAAAUAUUCUGAAAAAAACCCCUUAAAUAACCACUUGAUUUUUUUGCCAAUUUCAAAAAAGAUAUACCAGUAAUGACACGAGGAUAGAAGAUGUGUGGAAUCAAAUAGGUAACAACUAUAGUGAUAAUGAAAUAUUCUAAUAAUAACCAGUUUUAAAUGUAUUGACUUGAUGGACUUAUUGUAUGAUGUUGUAUGUGACCAGUCAGAAUAAUGGACAAUGAAAUAUUCAAAUGAUGAAACUGACUGACUUUUAGUGAAUAGACUGAAUUCAGGAUUAAACAGACUUGGAAUUGGACUGACAAGUUAAUAUUGACACCAGCCUUGGAACCAGCAAGUGAAUUAUUGACAUUUAUAUUGAUGUGACCAGUAUUCAUGUAGAUGGACAGUGCUAGUGAACUAUAAACUGAUAAAUCUCACAGAAAGCUGGCACAUCACAACUGGGUCUGAAGCUGUUACAUGCAAAAGACUAGAUAUCCAGGAAAUUUUGAAGAAUUGUAUGUGAUCUAUAACAAGAUCUGAGGACAGUAGGACCCGGAAGUACUAUAUUACCAACUUCAAGUAGAUUAAUUGCUUGGGAAUUUACAAAUCAACUGAUAAAGAAGAAGACUCAUUUUGCCAUUUAGAUGAACUUGGAAACAAUUAUUGACACACAAUAUAGUAUAUUAUUAUUCUUGUUAAAAUCAACAGAGAGAGAGAGAGGAAGGAUAGGAGAGAGUCAAUUGUAAAGAUUUAUUUCUUUUUAAUCAGACAUGUCGAUUACAUUAGAAUUUCAGAGGCCUACAGUUUUAGCAUUACAGGGCUUAAAUGGUCAUACAUGGAAGUAGUUGAAGCAAUUUAAUGUUAAGACUUUGAUGUGACCAGCGAGAACAAUCAGGCAGCUGGCAUUGGUUUAAAUCUCUUUUUUCGAAGAUGUUUUGGUUACAAAUAAAUAAAUCUGUGUGGAACGUCAAAAAAUGUAAAAAAAAUAAUUUGUGGUAUUUUGUAGUUUCAUUAUGCAAUCUUGAAUACAUUUAUGAUUACUAUUUAUAAAGAAGUAUUAUCAUAAGAAUGAGGAUGGAA